AUGAAGGAUCAGUAAAUGAAAUUUGUUGC
rnacentral:sRNA from 1 species